rnacentral:rRNA from 1 species
CUACGGGUGGCAGCAGUAAGGAAUAUUGGUCAAUGGACGAAAGUCUGAACCAGCCAUGCCGCGUGGAGGAUGAAGGUCCUCUGGAUUGUAAACUUCUUUUAUCUGGGAAGAAAUCCAUGGUUUCUACUAUGGUUGACGGUACCAGAUGAAUAAGCACCGGCUAACUCCGUGCCAGCAGCCGCGGUAAUACGGAGGGUGCAAGCGUUAUCCGGAUUCACUGGGUUUAAAGGGUGCGUAGGUGGGCAGGUAAGUCAGUGGUGAAAUCUCCGAGCUUAACUCGGAAACUGCCAUUGAUACUAUCUGUCUUGAAUACCCUGGAUGUGAGCGGAAUAUGUCAUGUAGCGGUGAAAUGCUUAGAUAUGACAUAGAACACCAAUUGCGAAGGCAGCUCACUACGGGAAUAUUGACACUGAGGCACGAAAGCGUGGGGAUCAAACAGGAUUAGAUACCCGAGUAGUC